GAUGAACGCUAGCGAUAGGCUUAACACAUGCAAGUCGAGGGGCAGCACAAGGUAGCUUGCUAUCUGGGUGGCGACCGGCGCACGGGUGCGUAACGCGUAUGCAACUUGCCCUAUACAGGAGGAUAACCCGUCGAAAGACGGACUAAUACUGCGUAUGCUCACAACUUGGCAUCAAGUGGUGAGGAAUGAAAUUCGGUAUAGGAUAGGCAUGCGUCCCAUUAGCUUGUUGGUGAGGUAACGGCUCACCAAGGCAACGAUGGGUAGGGGAACUGAGAGGUUUAUCCCCCACACUGGUACUGAGACACGGGCCAGACUCGUACGGGAGGCAGCAGUGAGGACUAUUGGUCAAUGGGCGCGAGCCUGAACCAGCCAAGUCGCGUGAAGGAGGACUGUCUUAUGGAUUGUAAACUUCUUUUAGACGGGAAUAACAAGAGUCACGUGUGACUCCCUGCAUGUACCGUAUGAAUAAGCAACGGCUAACUCCGUG
rnacentral:rRNA from 1 species